rnacentral:rRNA from 1 species
AUUCUGGCUCAGGAUGAACGCUGGCGGCGUGCUUAACACAUGCAAGUCGAACGGGAUCCAUCAAGCUUGCUUGGUGGUGAGAGUGGCGAACGGGUGAGUAAUGCGUGACCGACCUGCCCCAUACACCGGAAUAGCUCCUGGAAACGGGUGGUAAUGCCGGAUGCUCCAGUUGAUCGCAUGGUCUUCUGGGAAAGCUUUCGCGGUAUGGGAUGGGGUCGCGUCCUAUCAGCUUGACGGCGGGGUAACGGCCCACCGUGGCUUCGACGGGUAGCCGGCCUGAGAGGGCGACCGGCCACAUUGGGACUGAGAUACGGCCCAGACUCCUACGGGAGGCAGCAGUGGGGAAUAUUGCACAAUGGGCGCAAGCCUGAUGCAGCGACGCCGCGUGAGGGAUGGAGGCCUUCGGGUUGUAAACCUCUUUUAUCGGGGAGCAAGCGAGAGUGAGUUUACCCGUUGAAUAAGCACCGGCUAACUACGUGCCAGCAGCCGCGGUAAUACGUAGGGUGCAAGCGUUAAUCGGAAUUACUGGGCGUAAAGCGUGCGCAGGCGGUUCUGUAAGACAGAUGUGAAAUCCCCGGGCUCAACCUGGGAAUUGCAUUUGUGACUGCAGGACUAGAGUUCAUCAGAGGGGGGUGGAAUUCCAAGUGUAGCAGUGAAAUGCGUAGAUAUUUGGAAGAACACCAAUGGCGAAGGCAGCCCCCUGGGAUGCGACUGACGCUCAUGCACGAAAGCGUGGGGAGCAAACAGGAUUAGAUACCCUGGUAGUCCACGCCCUAAACGAUGUCUACUGGUUGUUGGGGUUUUUUAACCUUGGUAACGAAGCUAACGCGUGAAGUAGACCGCCUGGGGAGUACGGUCGCAAGAUUAAAACUCAAAGGAAUUGACGGGGACCCGCACAAGCGGUGGAUGAUGUGGAUUAAUUCGAUGCAACGCGAAAAACCUUACCUAGCCUUGACAUGCCAGGAAUCCUGAAGAGAUUCGGGAGUGCCCGCAAGGGAAUCUGGACACAGGUGCUGCAUGGCUGUCGUCAGCUCGUGUCGUGAGAUGUUGGGUUAAGUCCCGCAACG